rnacentral:rRNA from 1 species
UGAGCAAUCUGCCCUUCUCUUCGGAAUAAGCGUUGGAAACGACGUCUAAUGCCGAAUACGACCUCCUUUCGCAUGAUCGGAGGUGGAAAGCUCCGGCGGAGAAGGAUGAGCUCGCGGCCUAUCAGCUAGUUGGUGUGGGUAACGGCCCACCAAGGCGACGACGGGUAGCCGGCCUGAGAGGGUGACCGGCCACACUGGGACUGAGACACGGCCCAGACUCCUACGGGAGGCAGCAGGG